UGGGGAAUCUUGCGCAAUGGGCGAAAGCCUGACGCAGCGACGCCGCGUGUGCGAUGAAGGUCUUCGGAUCGUAAAGCACUGUCGCCCGGGAAGAAACCUGACGGUACCGGGAGAGGAAGCACCGGCUAACUCUGUGCCAGCAGCCGCGGUAAUACAGAGGGUGCGAGCGUUGUUCGGAAUUAUUGGGCGUAAAGCGCUGGUAGGUGGCUGUGUAAGUCGCGUGUGAAAUCUCCCGGCUUAACCGGGAAAGUGCGCGCGAAACUGUGCAGCUUGAGUGCCGGAGAGGGUCGCGGAAUUCCCGGUGUAGAGGUGAAAUUCGUAGAUAUCGGGAGGAACACCAGAGGCGAAGGCGGCGACCUGGAAGGUGACUGACACUGAGCAGCGAAAGCGUGGGGAGCAAACAGGAUUAGAUACCCCCGUAGUCC
rnacentral:rRNA from 1 species